AGAGUUUGAUCCUGGCUCAGAACGAACGCUGGCGGCAGGCUUAACACAUGCAAGUCGAACGCAUCCUUCGGGGUGAGUGGCAGACGGGUGAGUAACGCGUGGGAACGUGCCCUUCAGUUCGGAAUAACCCAGGGAAACUUGGGCUAAUACCGGAUACGUGCGAGAGCAGAAAGAUUUAUCGCUGAAGGAUCGGCCCGCGUCUGAUUAGCUAGUUGGUGAGGUAAUGGCUCACCAAGGCGACGAUCAGUAGCUGGUCUGAGAGGAUGAUCAGCCACAUUGGGACUGAGACACGGCCCAAACUCCUACGGGAGGCAGCAGUGGGGAAUAUUGGACAAUGGGCGCAAGCCUGAUCCAGCCAUGCCGCGUGAGUGAUGAAGGCCUUAGGGUUGUAAAGCUCUUUCGUCCGGGACGAUAAUGACGGUACCGGAAGAAGAAGCCCCGGCUAACUUCGUGCCAGCAGCCGCGGUAAUACGAAGGGGGCUAGCGUUGUUCGGAAUCACUGGGCGUAAAGGGCGCGUAGGCGGCUUGAUAAGUCGGGGGUGAAAGCCUGUGGCUCAACCACAGAAUUGCCUUCGAUACUGUCUGGCUUGAGACCGGAAGAGGUAAGUGGAACUGCGAGUGUAGAGGUGAAAUUCGUAGAUAUUCGCAAGAACACCAGUGGCGAAGGCGGCUUACUGGUCCGGUUCUGNNGCUGANNNNCGAAAGCGUGGGGAGCAAACAGGAUUAGAUACCCUAGUAGUCC
rnacentral:rRNA from 1 species